GAAUUUUUGCGUCUAUAUUCAUCAAAGAUAUUGGCCGAUAGUUUUCUUUUUUGAUUUUUUCUUUUUUGGCUGCAUCUGUGGCAUAUGAAAGAUCCCAUGCUAGGGGGUCAAAUUGGAGCUGCAGUCAUGGCAACACCAGAUUUGAGCUGCAUCUGUGACCUACACCAGAUCCUUAAUCCACUGAUUGAGGCCAGAGAUUGAACCCACAUCCUCACAGAGACAAUGUUGGGUCCUUAACAUGUUGAGCCACAGUUGGAACUCCAUAGUAGGGGAGUUUUAAAAAGAAUCCAUUCCAGGUAAGCAAUACAUGAGGUCCACUCCCUGGAGCAGGUAUAAUAUUCCCGGAGUUUCUGCCCAAAAAAUGUGACCCUCAUUCAUAUCAGGAGAAUAAUGACAGUAUAUAAUUUUAUAAUAACAACAGCACCAACCCUGAUUUUUACAUUUCUCUGGUUAACCUUUAUCACACAAUGGAUAUUUGUCAUUUGCUUCUCCUCUUGGCUGCCCAAUCUGCUGAAUCCUGUUGGAUGAAGGCAACUUGAUUCGGGGGGAUAUGGCAGCUUCCACUCUGAGGUGCCCUUACUUCAAAUCAGGCCCAGCCCAAGGAAUUCUAGUAGCAUGUAUCCAACUGUUUCAAACCUCCACCUGCUACAUGGGCGUGGCUUCUGAGAUCGACAUGCUUCCAACAGCUUAUACAGAGUGAACGGCAGAUGCGUCCUUUGGGGGUGAUCUCAGGGACGUCAGAAAGUCCCUGCCUUCCAAAACACCUCCACCACCUUCUUGGUGGUGAAUAAAUGAGGGAAAUCCCAUCUAGAGAAGAGCA
rnacentral:lncRNA from 1 species